rnacentral:misc_RNA from 1 species
GAUGAAGAACGUAGCGAAAUGCGAUAAGUAAUGUGAAUUGCAGAAUUCAGUGAAUCAUCGAAUCUUUGAACGCACAUUGCGCCCGCCAGUAUUCUGGCGGGCAUGCCUGUUCGAGCGUCAUUACAACCCUCAGGCCCCCGGGCCUGGCGUUGGGGAUCGGCGGAAGCCCCCUGCGGGCACAACGCCGUCCCCCAAAUACAGUGGCAGUCCCGCCGCAGCUUCCAUUGCGUAGUAGCUAACACCUCGCAACUGGAGAGCGGCGCGGCCACGCCGUAAAACACCCAACUUCUGAAUGUUGACCUCGAAUCAGGUAGGAAUACCCGCUGAACUUAAGCAAAUCAAUAAGCGGAGGA